AAUAUUUUUAGCUUGAGUGGUACAGUAUUCUAGUCAGCACAACUAUUCUAGAGGGCGGGGCUAAAAAUCCGUCGAAGGGCAUAUCGAUGAAGUUCCUUGUCUUGGCUUGCGACGCCCAGUCGUGGGUCAUCACAGGGAGUAAGAGGGAUGGGGCGAUCUGCAAUGGCAUGCAGGCGAUGACCCUACUCUCGUGGAGACAUAAUAGAUUUGAAAAAAUCUAUUAUGAUAAACCUGCUAUGUAUAUCUUACUAAAAGCAGAGUAGCCUGCCUUGAGUGAAAUAUGGCGGAUGAUAAGUUCAACUUAAGAUAUUGAAGGGCCCGAUAUAUUUUAAGUUCUGUUAUCGAAACCUAUUUUGCAAAAGAGGCUAAGGAAUAGAAUGGCUGUUGAGGAAAACUCCUAGACUGUUCUAAAAAAGAGGUAGAUUGUGGAUUACAGUGCGGACUAAGUGGCAAUCCAGUUUUAUCUUUGGCGACAAGAUAGUAAUAAAAUUAAAGGGAAACCGCUGUUAUGGCGACAGACAGUUUUUAUUAGGGAAAUCCUGCUGGACCUAAAGCCGUAAGAUUUACACAGUUUACUACCACUCUUAUAGCUGAUAGC
rnacentral:sRNA from 1 species